rnacentral:rRNA from 1 species
UACGUAGGGUGCAGGCGUUAAUCGGAAUUACUGGGCGUAAAGCGUGCGCAGGCGGUUUGCUAAGACAGGUGUGAAAUCCCCGGGCUUAACCUGGGAACUGCGCUUGUUACUGGCAAGCUGGAGUGUGGCAGAGGGGGGUGGAAUUCCACGUGUAGCAGUGAAAUGCGUAGAGAUGUGGAGGAACACCGAUGGCGAAGGCGGCUCUCUGGACCGUAACUGACGCUGAAGCGCGAAAGCGUGGGGAGCAAACAGG